GGAGGGGGAGGAGGAAGGGGACCCGGCGAGCCAGCCGCGCGAGCUCCUCCUCCCUCUGCCAGCGGCCUCAGCUAGUCCGCCUCUGGCUGCCGCCGGGCUGCAGGGACUGCGCUCCGAAGCGCCUCCCCACGGGCCACCACCCAAGGACUGAGUUAUGAAGAAUAGGAAUCUGCAACUAUAUGAUGGCAUUUUAUAGGAUCAUGUCUUACUCACAAGUCUGGAGCUGUGGGAAUCCUUAGCACAGAGGAGCAGAUGAGGUUCCCUAGGAAGAACAUGUAGACUAAAAAGUGCAUCAGGCUGAGAGUUAGCAGAGGGAAAGUACCCGCCAGACGAGACAAAAAAGGUAGAGGAGAAUCGAAGAGAUCUGCAUGUGGAAUCCAAAGAAGAAAGUAACAGACCACAGUCGCCGGUAUUUUCUUUCCUCUUCAAAACCACUUCUGCUCCAAAGACCAUGAACCUGAACUGAAGAAACGACUCUUUCCUGCUGGUGUGAGAUAAUUCAGUCUCCAUGAUGUCUUAAUCCUGGGCCUCCCUUAA
rnacentral:lncRNA from 1 species